AUUGAACGCUGGCGGCAGGCCUAACACAUGCAAGUCGAGCGGAUGAAGGGAGCUUGCUCCUGGAUUCAGCGGCGGACGGGUGAGUAAUGCCUAGGAAUCUGCCUGGUAGUGGGGGAUAACGUCCGGAAACGGGCGCUAAUACCGCAUACGUCCUGAGGGAGAAAGUGGGGGAUCUUCGGAUCUCACGCUAUCAGAUGAUCCUAGGUCGGAUUAGCUAGUUGGUGGGGUAAAGGCCUACCAAGGCGACGAUCCGUAACUGGUCUGAGAGGAUGAUCAGUCACACUGGAACUGAGACACGGUCCAGACUCCUACGGGAGGCAGCAGUGGGGAAUAUUGGACAAUGGGCGAAAGCCUGAUCCAGCCAUGCCGCGUGUGUGAAGAAGGUCUUCGGAUUGUAAAGCACUUUAAGUUGGGAGGAAGGGCAGUAAGUUAAUACCUUGCUGUUUUGACGUUACCAACAGAAUAAGCACCGGCUAACUUCGUG
rnacentral:rRNA from 1 species